UGGAUAGCUCAGCUGGAUAGAGUGGGGUGCUGAUAACGCCAAGGUUUCAGGUUCGAUCCCCAUAUUGGACAG